UUUUAUGAGAGUUUGAUCCUGGCUCAGGACGAACGCUGGCGGCGUGCCUAAUACAUGCAAGUCGAACGCAUUUUCUUUCACCGUAGCUUGCUACACCGAAAGAAAAUGAGUGGCGAACGGGUGAGUAACACGUGGGUAACCUGCCCAUCAGCGGGGGAUAACACUUGGAAACAGGUGCUAAUACCGCAUAAUUCCAUUUACCGCAUGGUAGAUGGAUGAAA
rnacentral:rRNA from 1 species